GAUGAACGCUGGCGGCGUGCCUAAUACAUGCAAGUCGAGCGAACAGAUGAGGAGCUUGCUCCUCUGACGUUAGCGGCGGACGGGUGAGUAACACGUGGAUAACCUACCUAUAAGACUGGGAUAACUUCGGGAAACCGGAGCUAAUACCGGAUAAUAUAUUGAACCGCAUGGUUCAAUAGUGAAAGACGGUUUUGCUGUCACUUAUAGAUGGAUCCGCGCCGCAUUAGCUAGUUGGUAAGGUAACGGCUUACCAAGGCAACGAUGCGUAGCCGAUCUGAGAGGGUGAUCAGCCACACUGGAACUGAGACACGGUCCAGACUCCUACGGGAGGCAGCAGUAGGGAAUCUUCCGCAAUGGGCGAAAGCCUGACGGAGCAACGCCGCGUGAGUGAUGAAGGUCUUCGGAUCGUAAAACUCUGUUAUUAGGGAAGAACAAAUGUGUAAGUAACUAUGCACGUCUUGACGGUACCUAAUCAGAAAGCCACGGCUAACUACGUG
rnacentral:rRNA from 1 species